CAGCAGCCGCGGGAAUACGAAGGGGGCUAGCGUUGCUCGGAAUGACUGGGCGUAAAGGGCGCGUAGGCGGAUUGUUUAGUUAGGCGUGAAAUUCCUGGGCUUAACCUGGGGACUGCGCUUAAUACAGGCAGUCUAGAGUGAGGAAGAGGGUUGUGGAAUUCCCAGUGUAGAGGUGAAAUUCGUAGAUAUUCGAAAGAACACCAGUGGCGAAGGCGGCUCACUGGCUCAUUCUAGACGCUGAGGUGCGAAAGCGUGGGGAGCAAACAGGAUUAGAUACCCCAGUAGUCCCUGUCUCUUAUAA
rnacentral:rRNA from 1 species